AGUAUCCUUCGGGGUUGGGUGAAAUUCCCUAUCGGCGGUACAGCCCGCAAGCCAUUUGGCAGAUUCGGUUAAAUUCCGAAGCCGACAGUAUAGUCUGGAUGAAAGAAGGUGAAU
rfam:Clostridium carboxidivorans P7 ctg00172, whole genome shotgun sequence.